GGUGAAUACCCUCCGUUGGUUGAAGGAAUUAUAGGAAUCUGCCAUUAAACCCUCGAUUGAAACCGUCUGACCAGAGAACCAAGCCCUCGAUCCCUAUCCUCUCUCGAUCCCAAUCCUCUGACCAGAGAACGCCAUCGCCCUCGAUCCUCCUCUGACCAGAGAACGCCAUCACCAUCGCCGCAUCAGUCGCCGGGUCGCCGCAUCUCGAUCUCAAACUCAACGCUGCCUCACUUGCAUUUCGGAAGUGAAAUCGAAGCCCCAAGAGCAAGUUUGCAAUGUUUUCGAAUUUGGUUGCUUGGAAGAGAUAGGACUGGUUUGCAAUCUGGGGGUGACAUCUCUUCCACAUUGGGAAUAUUGCAAUUAUUGUCUAGUAUGUGGAAGGGUGCCAAUUUUCCUGUUGGUAUAUUGUCUCUUCCAAUUUGAUGGUUAGGGCUAGCUGCAGAAGAUUUGGUGGCUAGGUGACCUUGGAGUUCUUCAAACUAGAAUACCAAUAGGAAAACGUGAUAUAUAUGUUGCUGCAGCUGGUAUUAAUUCACAGAGUCGUUGGGAGAUCAAGCGGAAUACCAAGCAAUGCAGCAAAUUAUAUUAUCUUUCAUCAUCUAAAACUUAGCUAGGAAACUUGAAAUGUAUGAAUGCGUUAACAAUGUUCCUUAAAUUCAAUGUUUGAUGAAUUGAUGUAUCACAAUACUUUUGGUACAAAUAUUGAUCAUGGUUUGC
rnacentral:lncRNA from 1 species